UUUCAUUCCUAGGUCUGUUGUGACUUAUUUGACAUCUCUUCCUGUUUCACAGGUUAAAGAUUUUUUGAAGUAAAGAAGCGCAUCUCAUCUGAACCUGAUGUCUAUCAUGGAUUUUUAACUGCAGUUCUGUGAGUAUCCCAACUUAACCAUGAAGAUGAACUGCAAACUGUAAGUCAUUCAUUUCUAAUUACUGUUGGGCACAUUGAUGUAUUUUGGCUUCUUGGUGAGUUAACCCGUUACCUGAAGGUUGAUCUGAGUAGUAAGGAUGUUUUAUUGGUUCAUGGGUUACUUAGGUGUUUGGUUUAUGUUGGUUUUAAUGAUUUGUUAAAAUGGUUACAGGCUCCAAGGUAUUGUUGUAAGCUGAAGUAAUGGGUUGGGUUCUGAUAUCUUCAGUCUUUUUUCCAGCUACUCUCCUGAGCUCUGCCUCUUCAUCACAUGAGCGUUGCUUUACUAAUGAGGUUGUGGUCUGAGUGUACAGAGGUGCAUACUGGGAUACAGAGCUGUCUGAAGUCUACAGGUCUGUAGACACGCCCCCUCAGGGGAAACCGAGUGUUUGAGAAACCGUCGUGACGUCAGUUACAUGGACUAGAAUGUUCUUUAAGAUGGAGACAGGGAAUCAGAAGGAGAAAUGCCAGGGGGAGAUGAGGGGGCUCUUCAUCUCAACCACUAAAACACAACUUCAGUCUGACACAGAGAACCAUGGAACACAUUCAACAAUCCCCUCCAGGCAUCGUGACUCCUCCAGGAACAGUUUAAUUUCCAAGAAGGUCUUAUUUGGGGCCAUCCCCAGAUGGAUCCUGCUCCUCAAGAGCCACCCCCCCUCCACUGGGUGGUCUUCUGAACAGAUCACCUCCUUCCUGUCCUCAGGCUCACUAAAGCUGCACCGUUUGCAUCUGUGAAGGCCCCUCAAUCAGGAAACCACUGGACUACAAAGACAUGACUUCAGAGACGUUGAAUCAACCUGGGACACAUGUUGGAGACGCCAAGCAUAAUCCAUCACCAAUGUGGGACGCCACUGAAGAAUGUUGUACAUAAUCCACGUCUCUGGAGACAUUGGUUGUUCUGUUCUGGGUGCCCUGGCAGGAGAGCUGGGGGUGGAUGAUGGAAUGUUAUUGGGCAUGAGGUUUUUACCCUGCAUGAUUGUUUGGCCUUUUAUGGCUCAGUGGUGUGUGUUCCAUUGGUUUGACAUGAGAUGGAUGAUUUUUUAAACAUCGCUAGUGUUCUACUGUGUGUGUGUGUGUGUGUGUGUGUGUGUGUGUGUCUCCCCCAUCACACCUGGCAUGGGGUUCUACGUGCGUGUCCUGGGUUCUGUGUGUCCGGCUUGCUUUGACAGUGAUAAUGUUCAUACGGGGUCUGUGUGAUUGGCUUGGGAUAUUGGAAUGGUCAAAUAAAUCAUACCUGAUGGUCGGCCGGCCACACGUUUACUUAAGGGUCUCCAGAGCGACGCUCCGGAGCGAUAUCAACACACUGGGCAGGAAGGAGAGUAUCCAACUCAAGUGUAAAAGGAUGCAAGCGGUGUGUUCAGAUCAGUGACUUCAAACUAGGACUACACCAAUCAGGAUCAAUGGAGGAUGGACACCUAAAGGCAUUCCACAAGGACUCUGAAGUUGGAAAGGGACCUCAAUGGCUGUUCAAGAUGACCUGUAAUGAGACGGCUCUUCCUACCUGGCUGGAUUGAUGGAGAGCCCUGUGGAUCUUGUCUUGCUCUCAGUUGCACGUCUGCUCAGGCUGAACUGUAUUUGUUUCGGACAGGACUAGCUGAACGAUUGUUUCCCUCAAAUCAGAACCAAUCUGGGAACUCAACAACUAGUGCGCUCUUCGAGCUGAAGUUGUGCUCUUCAGCUGAGGAGGUAAGGAAACCUUCACUGGGGCUUCAAGGUGUAAAGAGGAGAAUGUUUCAAAGUGUUCCAUGGUACUCUGAUGAGGACCGUUGUGUUCCACUGGCUGAGAGGAAGAACCCUCACAUCUUCCUCUUGGCCUUUCUCCUCUGAGAAUCCUGGCGCCAUCUUGAAGGAUAUUCCAGCUCAUGCAACUGAUGUCACGACAGAUUCUCAAACACUUGGUUUCUCCUGAGGGGCGUGUCUAUGGAACUGAAGACUUGAGACGGCACUGUAUCCCAGCAUGCAUCUCUGCUCACUCAGACCACACCCCCAUGAGUAGGAUGCAACAUUCUAGUGAUGGAGAUGUAGAGUUUUAUAAGUAAUGAGGGAGCAGACAAAGGUGAUUAGAGGCAUGUCAAGUCUGUAAAUCUUUAAAUCAUGAAGAUGGUUGGAUAGUUCAGGAAUUGGGCUUCUAUUUAUUAUGAGCAGUCCUUUCGCUCAGAUGGCCACCUCUCACUGGACCUGUACAUGUGUUGGCUGGCAUGAUUUGCUGUUGGUGAUGAGGCGGUCAAGGUGACGUUGCAGGGCUAUGGUUGGCUCUCUGUGAGCUCAACGUUUAGAUUUGCUCUGUAUGGUUUGUACCCUGAAUAAUCUAGAUAAUUGUAAAAUGUAGACAAGGUUUUGUAUUGAAUGAUUCCAUUGUUCUUAGGCAAGGAUUUGAGGUUUAAAGUUGUUGUGGGACGUACAUGGUAGUUAGCUUUGUACAGUUUUGAGUGAUAUAACAUGUACACACUGGGUGCAUAAUAAUGUAAUGUUACACUGAAUAGUAGUACCAACAGCAACAAACAGAUCUCCUCAAGGUAAGUCUGUUGGCUGUGUUUUAAUGAAGACCAUCGCUGGACUUCAGGAUCUUCCUCCGUUCAGCUCAAGGUGAGGCGCUGGUUCUGUUUUUUCUUUGGUUGGUUCCGGCAGGAAUGUUCGGAUUCCUGUCGGACGGUUUGUGCUUCCCGCCGGGAAGUUUCUGAGUGCGGUCACUUGAUUUAGUCCCAAUGGUUAGCAUCGAACGUUGUAGUCUUGACAAUCAUUAGAAACCACCUGGCAGUUAGUUGGACGGGAGUCCCCUGAGGGAAUCUGGCGGAACGUUCUGGAUUUUAUUUGCGUAACCUCGAGCCGUUGCCAACGGAAAAAAAAAUUCAGUCGGUUUCCAUUGGGAAUUGUUGCGCCUUAUCUUAAACAACUUAACUUUGGUAUUAAAUACAUACUGACACGUACAUUGUACAAUAUGUUUUAUUUUCGUUGGUUGCGCCGUAAUUUCAACCACGUUGACGGGACUCUCGCUGCGUACGAAACUGCCUUCUACUUGCGGGCCCAUUUUUUACAUCAGUGAAGGCUGAAAAUCAUUUGAAGGCGGAAGAUUAUUUGACAUUUCUUCAACGGAACCCAGCACCUGAAUAUGGCUGAGUAAAUUUGAUUUCAUAUCGAUACUGCUUAGUGUUCUUUGUUACUUCAGCUUUUGUACGUUCUAAAUAUCAUUGUCAUUAAUUGCAACAGAAGUUAAACCCUACCCAAUGGAAUGACGCUAAACAACGACUUUGGUGCAGAGUUACCAACUGGUUAGGGUUAUCAAAGGGUUAUCAAAGCUAAAAUUAUGGCCGUGCUUUCCCCAGUAGAAGAUACUCUAGAAUUGUACAAGGUUAAAAAGGUAACAUGUAGUUUGUCCCAAGGUGUCUGCCUCCUCUCCCGGAGCCAGACCUCCGCCUCCUCACCCAGAGCCAGACCUCCACCUCUUCACCCGGAGCCAGACCUUCACCCGGAGCCAGACCUUCACCCGGAGCCAGACCUCCACCUCCUCACCCGGAGCCGGACCUCCACCUCCUCGCCCGGAGCCGGACCUCAACCUCUUCACCCGGAGCCAGACCUUCACCCGGAGCCAGACCUUCACCCGGAGCCAGACCUCCACCUCCUCACCCGGAGCCGGACCUCCACCUCCUCGCCCGGAGCCGGACCUCCACCUCCUCGCCCGGAGCCGGAGCCAGACCUCCACCUCCUGUCAGAAGUCCUCCAGACUGCAGCACUGGACCAGAGGACCAAGAAUCCAUGUCUGGAAGAGCCGUGCUGAAGGCCCUGCCUGGUGGAGGAGCUGGUGGAGGCCCUGCCAGACCAGGACUCUGUCUGAGCAGAGCUGCUGGAGGAGCUGAGACGCUGGAGGACGACUAGGAAUCGACCAACAAGGAUUCCUCAACGUGUGUCUGAACCGGAGGCGAGCUGGUAGGGGAGCCGUGAAUCUGGAGGAUGACCAUCACUCUACCAACAAGGAUUACGUUGGGGCCAGACUCGUGCUGUUUGUUCCAGACCAGGACUCUGGCUGAGGAGAGCUGAUGGAGGAGCCAAGACUCUGGAGGACGACAUCACUCCACCGACCAGGAUCCUCGAAUCUGGAGGACUGAUGGAGAAGCCGUACAUCUGGAAGGCAAAUCCUGAGGACAACCAGGACUCUACCAUAAAGGAUUCCUCGCAGACACACCUGAGCUGAACCUCAACUGUUUGGUCGGGGGCAGACACACCUGAGCUGAACCUGACAUCCUGCUGGUCCCGUCUCCUCAGUUCAUCUGCGCCUCGUCCUCCAGAAGACCUGCUGAGCUCAGCAGUCUGAGGCUGAUGGAUCAAUGACCUCCAGUGGGAGUGAUCUUCUUGACCCCACAUGUAACCGUGUGCUUCCACACGCCUUUCCUUCACGUCUGUCACUAACCUCACUACUUCACUACUCUCUACUGCUUCCUCUUUUCUUCCUUCUCUGUGGUUCGAACCUUUACACUGAAGGCGCGCCUUCCUUCCCUCAGAGGGUUCAGCGUUAGGGUUGAGAGUCAGGGUUUAGAGUCAGGGACAGAGCUGGUCAGGGAGGACUGCUUUUACACAAACCUCUGCACUUGCUUUCGGAAUGGUGAUGACAUUUUGAAAAGAUUCUUUUGGGUAAAUGAUUCCUAUUCCAUUUACAAAAUUGUAUUCAACUUCUGUCAAGUGCUUUCGUUUGCAUAUUAAAAUCACACAUUGACUUCUAUAUAUUU